AGAGUUUGAUCCUGGCUCAGGAUGAACGCUGGCGGCGUGCUUAACACAUGCAAGUCGAACGAUGAUCCCAGCUUGCUGGGGGAUUAGUGGCGAACGGGUGAGUAACACGUGAGUAACCUGCCCUUAACUCUGGGAUAAGCCUGGGAAACUGGGUCUAAUACCGGAUAUGACUCCUCAUCGCAUGGUGGGGGGUGGAAAGCUUUAUUGUGGUUUUGGAUGGACUCGCGGCCUAUCAGCUUGUUGGUGAGGUAAUGGCUCACCAAGGCGACGACGGGUAGCCGGCCUGAGAGGGUGACCGGCCACACUGGGACUGAGACACGGCCCAGACUCCUACGGGAGGCAGCAGUGGGGAAUAUUGCACAAUGGGCGAAAGCCUGAUGCAGCGACGCCGCGUGAGGGAUGACGGCCUUCGGGUUGUAAACCUCUUUCAGUAGGGAAGAAGCGAAAGUGACGGUACCUGCAGAAGAAGCGCCGGCUAACUACGUGCCAGCAGCCGCGGUAAUACGUAGGGCGCAAGCGUUAUCCGGAAUUAUUGGGCGUAAAGAGCUCGUAGGCGGUUUGUCGCGUCUGCCGUGAAAGUCCGGGGCUCAACUCCGGAUCUGCGGUGGGUACGGGCAGACUAGAGUGAUGUAGGGGAGACUGGAAUUCCUGGUGUAGCGGUGAAAUGCGCAGAUAUCAGGAGGAACACCGAUGGCGAAGGCAGGUCUCUGGGCAUUAACUGACGCUGAGGAGCGAAAGCAUGGGGAGCGAACGGGAUUAGAUACCCCAGUAGUCC
rnacentral:rRNA from 1 species